CGCAACAAGCCAGAAUCUUCUGCGU
rnacentral:piRNA from 1 species